CUAAAUCCCAAGAAGAGCAUGUUUUGACUACACAGACUGUGGCUGAGGUUGCAGUGGAAGAGGCUCAGCUAGAGCUGCCAGGAGGGAGCCUUUGUCCAAGUGUGCCCACAGCAGAGAUGCAAGCAGAGAUGCUGGUGUUGCAGUGUGUGCAGAACAAGCCUGAUACUUGCCUUUGGAAUGAAGUCAAGGCUCACUGUCCUGCUCCACCAAAUUUCUCCUUAAAGAUGUGACUUCUGCUUCCUGGGCUUCACCUGGAAUUUAAAACACACUUUUUUUUUCUGUGAGCCUGCAGGAUUACAUUUCAGGCAGAGUGCAAAGUGACAGCUACUCCUCCACCUGUACUGACACAGCAUACACUCUCCAGGAAGAUGCAUCUUCCAUUCGUAUGUGUCUGCUGCAUGUGGUGCUGAUGCUCAAAAUGCCCAUGUUAGGCUUUUAGGCCAAAUAAAUUUGAUAAAAAAUCAUGGGAUUUUAGGAGCAUUAUUUCUGGAGAAGCUAAUUCCAGAAACAGUCUCUGCUCACCUGUGUCACUGAUGCCUUAGCACUGCACUUAUCUAAUAUUCACACCACCAGGACUGGAAUUCAGGACUUCUGGUCUCUGCUGGUUCUCUGCUGCAAGACCUUUU